rnacentral:lncRNA from 1 species
UUCUUUCUUUUUUUUUUUUUUUUGAGAUGGAGUCUCACUCUGUUGCCCCAGGUCGUUAAUCUCUAUAUAUACAUAUACAUAUACAUGUGUGUGUUCAUGUAUGUGUGUGUGUGUAGUCCAUGUAUGUGUGCGUGUGUGUAUAGUAACACUUUUGUUACUCCAUUUAACCUUCCCCAGUGGGGUGUGCAGAGCACAAGGGCUGCUUCUGAAUGCAGGCACGUGAUCUAAGGACACUGUGCAUCACCAGUGUGACCCCAGGAGUAGUUUCAGAGCUUUGAUAUAAUAAUUCACCGUCUGACACUCCGGGGCUUGCCUGGAUCUAAAAAUAGUUGUUCCCCCGAGCUGGUCGGGGAACUGGCUGAGAAGGGAGGGAGCUGCGUGGAACACAUUCUGAUAUUUGGCCUUUGUCCGAGGACUGAAAACAGUUCUGUGUCCAAGUAUGUUUUUAAUACCUGAUAUUUAUUUCACAAAAAAGCUGAAAUUGCUUUGUGUGUCCAGGCUUGAAUGUUUAAGGCAUACUUGAUUAAUACAUGUGUGCUGAGCGCUUCCGGCCUGGUGGAGACAUCAGGAAUCCUUACACAGUUCCAGGGAAGAGGGAAGAAAACCCACUGAGGACUGAGGAGGUUGGUCAUGCCAAGUGGAGGUGAGGAGUGGGGCUACAGGAGGCUGAUUUCCUGCUGUUCAGCAAGGAAGUCUUGGGUUGUUUGCCACUCACGUAUUUUACGUUUCUAACUAAGACACAGGACUUCAGGAAUAAG